UUCAAGAAACUUUAAGCCAUGCCCUGACUUAUGCUGUUGAGAAGCCGGUUGCUCUCCCUACUCUGCUAUGCAAUAUCAUUCUUGAGCAACACCCAGAUAUACUAAGGAGUACUGAUGUUCCUUGUAAAAGGAAAGGGGUGUUGGUGAUUGAGCAGAGGCUGCUGGAUGGGACAAAUGCUGCAGCAGGUGUUGGCACAUCUGUCCAGGGUGGUAUACUUUCAAGGAAG
rnacentral:lncRNA from 1 species